UUUUGUGUGUGUCACAUAAGGCUACAACCAGUGGGCCAGCCCAUGGUGGCUUUUCCUGGUUCUCGAUAGAAGGGCCCGAGGGUUGUUUUUCCCCUUUGGUUCUACAGCCACCGUUGGUGUUCUGCUUCCUUCCUUUCCUUCUCGCUCCUCCAAUAUCUUUUCCCGCGAUAGGACACGAUUCUAUCAAUAUAUACAUAUAUAAAUACAUAGAUACGGAGAGAGGUUGGAGGGCAGGUGAUUCCGAUUUUGAAAGGGAAUUUAAAGCUGCCAGAGCUAGGGUUAGGGUUUGUGGCUGCAUCACCUCGGAUUGGACUGGCUGGAGGAGAAGAUGGACGUGGAUCCGGUCCCCGCCAAUUCCCAUGGCAACGUCGAAGGGCAGAUCUCGCAGCUCAUGCAGUGCAAGCCGCUCUCUGAGCAAGAGGUUAGAGUUCUUUGUGACAAGGCUAAGGAAAUUUUGAUAGAAGAAAGCAAUGUCCAACCUGUGAAAAGCCCUGUGACAAUAUGUGGUGACAUUCAUGGGCAAUUUCAUGAUCUUGCAGAGCUAUUUCGGAUUGGUGGAAAGUGUCCAGAUACCAAUUACUUGUUUAUGGGAGAUUAUGUAGAUCGUGGGUAUUACUCUGUUGAAACAGUUACGGGUCUGCAAGAAAUAAAGAGUCUGAAUAAAGGUGAUUUCGAGUUGUUCGGCGUUGGUGGAGAGUCUAUUCAGGCCAAAACUCUUUUGGUGGCCCUGAAGGUGCGUUACCCUCAACGCAUUACCAUCCUUAGGGGAAACCAUGAGAGUCGUCAGAUUACACAAGUUUAUGGAUUCUAUGAUGAGUGUUUACGAAAAUAUGGUAAUGCAAAUGUGUGGAAGACAUUCACUGAUCUUUUUGACUAUUUUCCAUUGACAGCAUUGGUUGAAUCAGAAAUAUUUUGCCUUCAUGGUGGUCUGUCUCCACAUGUCGACACUCUUGAUGGUAUACGUAACUUUGAUCGUGUUCAAGAAGUUCCUCAUGAGGGUGCAAUGUGUGAUCUCCUAUGGUCUGACCCAGAUGACCGAUGUGGUUGGGGUAUUUCUCCUCGUGGUGCUGGAUAUACCUUCGGUCAAGAUAUAUCAGAGCAAUUCAAUCAUACCAACAACCUUAAACUAAUAGCUAGAGCUCAUCAAUUAGUCAUGGAGGGAUAUAACUGGGGACAUGAACAAAAGGUUGUCACCAUAUUUAGUGCACCUAACUAUUGCUACCGAUGCGGGAACAUGGCCUCCAUCUUGGAAGUUGAUGACUGCAAAGGACACACAUUCAUCCAGCCAAAUUAGGAUCCAUAAUGCCGGCCCCAAAUUGGUGGGACAGAGGUGGAUUACAUGGUUGCUUUUGGUUAUUAAUCGGUGGCUCCGAGAUUUCUUAUGGGCACAGGCAUCUCAGUUUGAGCCAGCACCAAGGAGAGGAGAACCUGAUGUAACUCGUAGAACACCCGAUUAUUUUCUAUGAUCCUAUUGUUGCAGGCUUAGCUGACAGAGGAAGCAAUUGUAUGCUUGCUAAUUAAUUGGGAACAUGGUUGCAGAUAUUUUUGGAAGAUAAAUUUACAUUUUUUUCCCAAAGAUCCUAUGCUUGAUGGUAUGGGGAUAAAGAUCAGUCUACAUGUGGGUUCCCACUCACUCUGGCUUUCUUUCUGUUUUGCUUCCUUUCUUUUCUUUCUCUAUUUUUUCAACUAAAAUGAUCUUGUAGAGGAAAGGGAUUUAAUUUUCAGUGGGUGAUUUUCUUAUGGGUUGGUUUUAACUAGACUAGUUAUUUUUUCUGGUUCUCACAUCUGUAAGUUUAUAACAAGAUACUAUUGACACGAUCUGGUUCCAGUAUCCUGUGAGUUCCUUUGCUGGUACUCUGAAAAAUUAUUGUGCAUACGAUUCAGUUUGAGCUUUUUUUUUGGUUAUCGAUUGAUGUUGAGGGGAAGUUCUUUAUGGGAUCUCGCUUGACCAGUUUAAUCUACUGAUUUUCCUGUCUCUGGUAAGGCUACAUGUGUUCUUUUUAACUGGAAGCUCAUGUGAUGUGGGGAUUGAAACUUGUCUCCCUACAUAACCCUGGUUCUUUCGAGGGUUUCCACCAGUGGUUUGGUCCUAACCUGUAUCAUACUUGGCUGUCAUCCUGUUAUAACCAAAAGCCCAAGCCCAUCUAGCAAGACCCAAGCC